UGGGGAAUAUUGCACAAUGGGCGCAAGCCUGAUGCAGCCAUGCCGCGUGUAUGAAGAAGGCCUUCGGGUAGUAAAGUACUUUCAGCGGGGAGGAAGGCGUUAAGGUUAAUAACCUUGGCGAUUGACGCUACCCGCAGAAGAAGCACCGGCUAACUCCGUGCCAGCAGCCGCGGUAAUACGGUGGGUGCAUGCGUUAAUCGGAAUUACUGGACGUAAAGCGCAUGCAGGCGGUCUGUCAAGUCGGGUGUGAAAUCCCCGGGCUCAACCUGGGAAGUGCAUUCGAAACUGGCAGGCUAGAGUCAUGUAGAGGGGGGUAGAAUUCCAGGUGUAGCGGUGAAAUGCGUAGGGAUCUGGAGGAAUACCGGUGGCGAAGGCGGCCGCCUGGACAAAGACUGACGCUCAGGUGCGAAAGCGUGGGGAGCAAACAGG
rnacentral:rRNA from 1 species